GCGGGAAUAGCUCAGUUGGUAGAGCGCAACCUUGCCAAGGUUGAGGUCGCGGGUUCGAAUCCCGUUUCCCGCU
rnacentral:tRNA from 1 species